UGACGGCCCCUGCACAGCGUUAGAGUCUCUCUUCACUUCCAGCCUUGGUACCAGGCCUCGUGUUGCAGCCUGCCUCCAUCUUCAAUAGCACUUCGCACUCAGGUCUCCGCCGCCUCAGCUCUCACAGGUGAGCAAACAUGAAUAUGCUCGCAGAAGGUUCCCAAGCAUUUCUUGCACUAUCUGCAGGAAUACAUUGUUCACCGCAAGCAGUUCCAGCCUCCACCCACUGGUACCUCAUCAUUGCAGCUCUCCAGCCUGCCCCUAGCACAUAAUUUCAUCUGGAUCCCUUUAUGGCAAGAAAACCUACGCAGGUGCACAUGUUAACCUUUCUCCCUUCAGCAAGUGAAUAUGAAAACAGCCUUCAAGUGUCAAACUCUGCGCAUACAUCUUUCUGUCAUCUAACAGCCACCUCAGCGCCGCAAAACGUUGCAAGAGGAUCUGGACACAACUCAUCACCUGCAUAAAUUCUGUUGUUGUGACUACAAUAAUUUGGAGAAUUCCCAGGCAUCACUGCAAAGGCCGAGCCUCACAUUCAGAGAAUGUCUCCCCCGGCGGGCAGACUUUCACCUCCCCAACUUCACUUCUGCUUGUUUACGGAAACUCGACUGAACAACAAGAAGAGAACGCGAGUGGGAUGUAUUAAGAGGGUUGUUAGAGAUGCAGCUGGCAUCUGAUGGGAAGUAACAACACUUAAACAACACUUCACUUCGACCCAUUAGAUCCUACACAACUCUGAAGACCUGGGCAAUGUAAUGAGAGCAACAUGGAGGACCAUAUUUAUGGGCUGAUCUAUCAAACCAAUGAGCAACAGAGCUAUUAGCAUUGAUAGCACAAGGCAGCGUUGCUUCGCUGGCCUAAUGGCAAAAACCAAUGUAAUGUUGCAUUAGCGUUCGAUUUAAUAAAGAAGAGUUGUUGAAAGCAU